AUUGAACGCUGGCGGCAGGCCUAACACAUGCAAGUCGAGCGGAUGAAGGGAGCUUGCUCCUGGAUUCAGCGGCGGACGGGUGAGUAAUGCCUAGGAAUCUGCCUGGUAGUGGGGGAUAACGUCCGGAAACGGGCGCUAAUACCGCAUACGUCCUGAGGGAGAAAGUGGGGGAUCUUCGGACCUCACGCGAUCAGAUGAGCCUAGGUCGGAUUAGCUAGUUGGUGGGGUAAAGGCCUACCAAGGCGACGAUCCGUAACUGGUCUGAGAGGAUGAUCAGUCACACUGGAACUGAGACACGGUCCAGACUCCUAUGGGAGGCAGCAGUGGGGAAUAUUGGACAAUGGGCGAAAGCCUGAUCCAGCCAUGCCGCGUGUGUGAAGAAGGUCUUCGGAUUGUAAAGCCCUUUAAGUUGGGAGGAAGGGCAGUAAGUUAAUACCUUGCUGUUUUGACGUUACCAACAGAAUAAGCACCGGCUAACUUCGUG
rnacentral:rRNA from 1 species